UAAGUCAAUAUAUUAUAAUAUUUGACUCAUAUUAACUAUUUACUAUAUUAGGGAAUACAAUUGAGAAAUUUUUUAAAUGCAAGAGUAGUACUAAACAACAUUAGCCAUCAGGGAAACACAAAUCAAAACUACAGUGAGAGGAGUUCCUGUUGUGGCACAGUGGAAAUGUAUCUGACUAGGAACCAUGAGGUUUUGGUUCAAGCCCUGGCCUCGCUCAGUGGGUUAAGGAUUUGGUGUUGCCAUGAGCUGUGGUGUAGAUCACAGACGCAGUUCAGAACCCGAGUUGCUGUGGCUCUGGUGUAGGCCAGCGGCAAUAGCUCCUAUUAGAUCCCUAGCCUGGGAACCUCCAUAUGCCACAGGUACGGCCCUAAGAGGACACACACAAAAAAAAAAAAACCAAAAAACUACAGUGAGAUACAGAGUUCCCACUGCCAUGCAGUGAGUUAAGAAUCCAACUGCAGUGGCUGGGGUCUCUGUGAAGGUGAGGGUUCGAUCCCUGGCCCAGCACAGUGAUUUAAAGGAUCAGGCAUUGCCAUUUGCCACACUUGUGGCAUAGGUCAGCGCAGCUGCAGCUCAGAUUCAAUCCCUAGCCCCAGAAUUUCCAUAUGUUGUGGGUACAGCCAUAAAAAUAAAAAGUAAAAAACAAACUACAGUGAGACAGGAGUUCCCUGGCAGUUNNNNNNNNNNACUGGUGUUGUGUGUGGCUCUGGUUACUGCUGUGGCAUGGGUUCAGUCCCUGGCCCAGGAACUUUUGCAUGCUAUAGAUCCGGUGUUGCUGUGCACUGUGGCGUAGGUCGAAGACACAGAUGGGAUACUGUGUUGCUGUGGCAGUGGUGCAGGCCAUGGCUACAGCUCCAAUUUGACCCGGAGCCUUGGAUUCUCCAUAUGCCACAUGUGUGGCCCUAAAAAAAAACUCCAGUCAGGCUGGUAGUUAAGUUAAUAUGGUACCAAUGUUAAUUUCUUGGCUUUGAUUAUUGUACUAUAGAAUUAAUAUCAGGGGAGCAGGGUAAGAGACACACAGGAAUUCUCUAUACUAUCUGCAAAAUUUCUCCCUAAGUCUAUACCUAGCAUUGCAGCUUCCAGCUCACUCUCUCCAGGCCCACUUGCUCUGAGGAGAAGCCAGACGCUUGUCAUGGGGACACUAUGGAGGGGGCCACAUGGUGAGAAACUGAGCCCUCUUGCCCACAGCCAGCAUGGUCUUCCAGAUGAAUGAAUGAGCCACCUUGGAAGAAGAUCCCCCGGUCCCAGCCAAGCCUUCGGAUGCAUGAGGCCCCGUCAGUGAGGAUGAGCCAAGGCUUGGAGCCAAAACCAUCCAGAUGAGCCACCCUCCAAUACCUGACUCACAGAAAGCCGCGUGUUAUCCCUUAGAGCAGCUUUUUUUAGAGAAAAUAUUGCUGUUUCGAACAGUGGCCACCAGAUGGCGCCUGGAUUCCAAGGUUGGAAACAAAACGGCUGCCACUAUUACAGAAGAGGUCAAGGCCUCAGUUUAUUUAUAAAGCCUAAUAAAAAUGUCACCGGGAGUUUUUUNNNNNNNNNNNNNNNNNNNNNNNNNNNNNNNNNNNNNNNNNNNNNNGCCAUAGGCAAAUAUGUAAGGGGAAAGCUGAAAAAGAAGGGAGAAGAGGAGAAGGAAAAAAAUAAGGGAAUAGCUCUACCAGAUAUUAAUAACAAUUUUUUAAAAAUGUGUUGGAGCUUCCAUUGUGGCGCAGAGGAUUAAGGAUCUGGCUUUGAAGCAGCUGUGGCGUAGGUCCCAGCCACGGCUCCACUUUCAACCCCUGGCCUGGAAACUUCUACAUGUAGUGGGUGUGGCCAAAAAAGAAUGAAUGAAUGAAUGCAUACAUACAUACAUACACAAGUAAAUAAAUAAAUGUGCAUCAGUAAAUAUACAGAUCAAGAGAAGGAUUAGAAAAUCUGAAACAGAAACAAUUGCCUAUGGAAAUUUAUUUCAUCAUCAUAUAAUAGUUUUUAAUUUAGGAAGGGACUUUGGGGAAGUUUUUAAUCUAGUAGUGUUGGAGCAACUAGAUAAACAAAAAGAAAAGCUUGAGUCCAUUCCUCACCCUGGAUACCAGAUUAAAUUCAAAAUGUAUCAAAGACUUAAGUGGAAAAA
ensembl:lncRNA